rnacentral:misc_RNA from 1 species
GAUGAAGAACGCAGCGAAAUGCGAUAAUUAAUGUGAAUUGCAGAAUUCAGUGAAUCAUCGAGUCUUUGAACGCACAUUGCGCCUCAUGGUAUUCCGUGAGGCAUGCCUGUCUGAGCGUCAGCAACACCCACUCAAGCAUUGCUUUAUUGCUUUGCCUGGACUGUAUCAGGGAAGCAGUUGGCUUUUUUUGUCCGGCUGCCCUCUGAAAAGCGAUAGAUGGUCAGGUUGUCGUCCUAUGCCAAACGUCAUAUGAUUUCGGUCGUUCGUUUGCAUGAGUGGCUUCUUGAUGGUCAUCGAACCCACCAGCGCUAUGCUGGUUAAUUUUUUCUGACUUGACCUCAGAUCAGGUAGGGAUACCCGCUGAACUUAAGCAUAUCAAUAAGCGGAGGA